rnacentral:rRNA from 1 species
UGGGGAAUAUUGCACAAUGGGCGCAAGCCUGAUGCAGCCAUGCCGCGUGUGUGAAGAAGGCCUUCGGGUUGUAAAGCACUUUCAGCGGGGAGGAAGGCGAUAAGGUUAAUAACCUUGUCGAUUGACGUUACCCGCAGAAGAAGCACCGGCUAACUCCGUGCCAGCAGCCGCGGUAAUACGGAGGGUGCAAGCGUUAAUCGGAAUUACUGGGCGUAAAGCGCACGCAGGCGGUCUGUCAAGUCGGAUGUGAAAUCCCCGGGCUCAACCUGGGAACUGCAUUCGAAACUGGCAGGCUAGAGGCUUGUAGAGGGGGGUAGAAUUCCAGGGGUAGCGGUGAAAUGCAUAGAGAUCUGGAGGAAUACCGGUGGCGAAGGCGGCCCCCUGGACAAAGACUGACGCUCAGGUGCGAAAGCGUGGGGAGCAAACAGG